AUCUUUUCUUUUUUUUCACUUUCUCCUUCUUUCUCUUUCUGCUUUCUCUUCAUUCUUCUAAUUUCACAUUAAUGUCUACUUUCUCUUUGUCUGUCAUCUUCAUCUUGCAGAAUUUGAUUACAUGGUCUUAUAAUUUGUUGAGGUCAUAUUCUUGACUAAAUGUUUUUUGAUUUAUUAACUAUUAUCAUGUGUUUGUUUCAGAUUUUACAAAAGCACUGCUUGAAUGCAAAGAAAAUGUUCAAGAUCUCUUAGGGUUUGUGCAAUAGAAGAUGCAGAUGAACAAACAGAUGAAUAAAGGCCUUCCACUUUGUGUAUUCACAAAUCUUUUUCUAAACGAGUAUUUGGAAACCACCAGAUUUGAAACUGAAAUCAUUAGAUCUGAAAUUGAAGUCUCCAGAUCUGAAAUCAAAACCCCCGGGUGAUAAAAACAUUGUAGCUUGAUAGAAUUUUUGGGGAGCUGUUGAAAUUUCUGAAGUGUCCAGAUGCUAUUACUUAUGUUCUGCCUGCUGAAAAAAACAGGAAAUAAGAAGCAACAACACAAAGGUACAUACUGAUACCUACAAAAAAUAAAGCUCUUAUUUUGAUGACUAUAUUUAGAAAGUUGUUAUGAGGAAGAAGAAAAUCCAAGAAAUCAAUGAACAAGUUGUGGAAGAAUAUUGAUGGAGAGAGAAAUAUUAAUGAACGAUAUUGAUGAGUAAAAAUAUUUGUUGAAAUUAAAUACACUUAAAUGUCAUUAAUUUGUCAUAAGUUUUUUUGUAG